rnacentral:tRNA from 1 species
GGGCUCGUAGCUCAGUCUGGCUAGAGCACGAGGCUUUUAACCUCGGUGUCGCGGGUUCAAAGAGCCUUUCUCUUUAGAAAAGAGAAACGUUCGCGAAAGAAAAACUACUUUUGCGACUGGCUUAGAAAAUCCUGUCGGGCCCU